rnacentral:misc_RNA from 1 species
AGGAAGUGAAGUGGCGAGUUGUUGAGGAAGAAGUAAUGUAUUUCUUUGGUUAUUGUUUUUGUAGUAAUAAUUGGCUGCACAUUGUGGUGGUUCUCCAUCAAUCUCUUUUCUGUGAAAGUUCCUGUGGCAUUCACAAGCUGCGCAUUUCAAGGCUUCUUGGGUGCCCUCCUCGCCGCUUGGCAUGAAUUCUCCACAUCCAUCGACGACGAGUCCUCCCAUGCUUGCCGCGUGAUUCCUCAAACAUUCUCGAUAUCUAACUGACGAUAUUGAUUCGGUGGUGAUAGUGGUUGAUGCUGGUGGGGGUGGUGGUGGUGGGGGUGGUGGUGAUCUAGAAAUGGACCUACCGGGAGUAGGUGUAGUGUUGGUUGCACCUGUGGCAGCAAUUGGAAGUGGAGCCGAGGCUGAAGCUGGAUCUGGGAUUAGGUCAGAAUCUCUAGUGGGUUUGGGAGUUUGAUGUUGUCGAUUCAGUGGAAGAGGAUGGUGUUCAAGGGUUUGAGUUGUAGCAGUUUGAUGACGAUGAUCUCUCUUUCUUUCUCCGAAGGUUGAAAUUAUGGAAGCAGAAGGAACUUUAUAGGAGGAAUCUCUAUUAGGUGGAUUGUAACCCAGAGAGCUUGGCAUCCCUAUUUCCUUAUCUUGGCCUCUCAGUUCCAUCGAACUGAACUGAUCUGCAAUAUAAAAGCUUCGAAUCCAAGUCUUGAUCUCAGGUACCCUCCACUUCUCAAAGCAAUAUCAUCAUCUUCCUGAUUAUUUAUUGGAAAACCAUGGCAUCUUCUUGUGAUCCUUUCAACCCUAGUUU